rnacentral:rRNA from 1 species
AUUGCAGGCUGCAACUCGCCUGCAUGAAGUUGGAAUUGCUAGUAAUCGCGAAUCAGAAUGUCGCGGUGAAUACGUUCCCGGGCCUUGUACACACCGCCCGUCACACCAUGAGAGUCGAUAACACCCGAAGCCUGUGACCCAACCUUAAGGAGGGAGCUGUCGAAGGUGGAGCCGGUAACUGGGGUGAAGUCGUAACAAGGUACC